rnacentral:tRNA from 1 species
GGACUUGUGGCCUAUUGGAUAAGUCGUCUGCCUUCAAAUCAAAAGAUCGCAUGUUCGAGUUCUGCCAGGUUCG